UUCUGCUCAGACGAACGCUGGCGGCGUGCCUAAUACAUGCAAGUCGAGCGGACAGAUGGGAGCUUGCUCCCUGAUGUUAGCGGCGGACGGGUGAGUAACACGUGGGUAACCUGCCUGUAAGACUGGGAUAACUCCGGGAAACCGGGGCUAAUACCGGAUGGUUGUUUGAACCGCAUGGUUCAAACAUAAAAGGUGGCUUCGGCUACCACUUACAGAUGGACCCGCGGCGCAUUAGCUAGUUGGUGAGGUAAUGGCUCACCAAGGCAACGAUGCGUAGCCGACCUGAGAGGGUGAUCGGCCACACUGGGACUGAGACACGGCCCAGACUCCUACGGGAGGCAGCAGUAGGGAAUCUUCCGCAAUGGACGAAAGUCUGACGGAGCAACGCCGCGUGAGUGAUGAAGGUUUUCGGAUCGUAAAGCUCUGUUGUUAGGGAAGAACAAGUACCGUUCGAAUAGGGCGGUACCUUGACGGUACCUAACCAGAAAGCCACGGCUAACUACGUGCCAGCAGCCGCGGUAAUACGUAGGUGGCAAGCGUUGUCCGGAAUUAUUGGGCGUAAAGGGCUCGCAGGCGGUUUCUUAAGUCUGAUGUGAAAGCCCCCGGCUCAACCGGGGAGGGUCAUUGGAAACUGGGGAACUUGAGUGCAGAAGAGGAGAGUGGAAUUCCACGUGUAGCGGUGAAAUGCGUAGAGAUGUGGAGGAACACCAGUGGCGAAGGCGACUCUCUGGUCUGUAACUGACGCUGAGGAGCGAAAG
rnacentral:rRNA from 1 species